CCUACGGGGGGCUGCAGUGGGGGAUAUUGGACAAUGGGGGGAACCCUGAUCCAGCGACGCCGCGUGAGGGAAGAAGUAUCUCGGUAUGUAAAGCUCUUUCAGCAGGGAAGAAGAAAUGACGGUACCUGAGUAUGAAGCCCCGGCUAACUACGUGCCAGCAGCCGCGGGAAUACGGAGGGGGCAGGCGUUAUCCGGAAUUACUGGGUGUAAAGGGAGCGUAGACGGUGAUGUAAGUCUGGUGUGAAAGGCGGGGGCGCAACCCCCGAACUGCGCUGGAAACUAUGUGACUGGAGUGCAGGAGAGGUGAGCGGAAUUCCUAGUGUAGCGGUGAAAUGCGUAGAUAUUAGGAGGAACACCAGUGGCGAAGGUGACUCACUGGACUGUAACUGACGUUGAGGCUCGAAAGCGUGGGGAGCAAACAGGAUUAGAUACCCGGGUAGUC
rnacentral:rRNA from 1 species